rnacentral:misc_RNA from 1 species
UUUCCGUAGGUGAACCUGCGGAAGGAUCAUUAUCGUAUAAACAACGUGCAAGGCCCGUUGAAGAUCCGACUGGUUGUGCACGCCCAAGAGCCCGCACGCACAACAACCUCACCCCCCUGCGGACCACCGCGAGGCUCCGCUUCUGUAUUGAACGUCGGGGGGAAUCCGUUAAUAAAUAAAAACUGUAAACAACGUAGCAUGUAUUUCUUGUUUUUGUGAACAACCCAUCAAUACAACUUUCAACAACGGAUAUCUUGACUCUCGAAUAGAUAAAGCAUA